rnacentral:misc_RNA from 1 species
AGAAAAAUGGACUAUGUUACACUGAGAACUAACAUCAUAUUCAAAGUUAUGUAGCUACUAUCAUCAUAUAUCUAUAUGUUUACAUUAAUAUAAUAUGUAUAAACUGACAAAACUGGCAUAUUCUGCAUAGCUCACAACACCUUCACCACUUACAGCUCCUCCCCAAAAGAAAAAGAAGAAAACAAUCUUGGCUGUUUUCUCCUUAACUUUCCUUUGACGUACGAUUACCUUGCAUGGAGAAGCACUCGAAGCACACUCUUCAUCUUUGGCCGGCCUUCUGGUGAUACACUGACACAAGCUAGAGCCAAUUUGAGGACUGCUAACAUCUGGCUCCUAACGUUGAGCGAUGCCUUAGAAAUGCUAGAAUCCAGAAUGUGAUCCCACUUGCUGUGCUUCUCAGAGUUGCUCAGCACUGACUUGGCUAACUCGGUUCCCUGACUAACUGCAGGCCUUCCUGUCAACAAUUCCAGCAGAACGACCCCAAAGCUAUAUACAUUUCCAGCCAUUGUGACUCUCAUUGUGUAUGCAUAUUCUGGAGGAAUAUAACCGACAGAACCAGCAACAGCAGAAAAGCUGCCUGUGCUCUUCGAAGGAUCCAUCACCUUGUAGAGUUCAAUGUCUCCUAUCUGAGCCUCAUUCUGGGACUUCAAGAGAAUGCUCUUGCUGGAAAGGUCGAGGAGGAGGAUUGGACCCUUGUCACAUCCAUGAAGAAAAGCUAAACCCUGAGCUACUCCAAUAGCUAUGCUGUAGCGACUUGCCCAAUCUAACGAGUAGCCCAAGCUACCACGAAGAACAUCAUAUAACGAGCCAAUGGGGGCAAAUUCGUAGAAGAGGUAAGCACUAUCAGCAGCCAAAAGAUAGCCUAGUGGAAUCAUGACAUUCGAAUUAUUCAGCUUUCCAAUAUUUCUUAACUCUUCCCCAAAUAGUUCAUGGCUUCCCAACUGAAAUAUUUUGUCACUCCAAUUAAGCUUCUUG